rnacentral:rRNA from 1 species
UGCUAUGACCAUAUCAGCCUGAAUGUUCCUGAUCUCAAGUGAACUGACGCUAAGCAGGGUUGGUCCUGGUUAGUACUUGGAUAGGAGAGAUGGUCCGUGCAAGUAGGGGCCCUGAAGC